rnacentral:ncRNA from 1 species
CUUGCUUGUGGCGGCCCAGCUGUCAGCGAUAUCGCGUUUCGAUCCUUCGACGAUCGACUCUUCCUUUCACUGCACACAGCCGUCGCUAUGCGUUCGAUUGUUGACCCGCUAAGUAGGGAACGUCAGCUGGAUUUGGAACGUCGUGGCACAGCGU